CCACCACCAAGUGGUUUUCAUUUGCAGGAAUUGGAGGAAUGCUUAAAGAAAAUAAACACUGGGGCUGGAGAGAUGGCUCAGUGGUUAAGAGCAUUGGCUGCUCUACCAGAGGUCCUGAGUUCAAAUCCCAGCAACCACAUGGUGGCUCAUAACCAUAUGUAAUGGGAUCUGAUGCCCUCUUCUAGUGUGUCUGAAGACAGUGGCAGUGUACUCACAUAAACCUUAAAAAAAAAAAAAACAAAAAAAAAACAAACAUUUAUUUAAAACCCUCUGAAAACCUAUUUUAUGUGCAGUUUAAAACUAAUAAACUUGGGGAGCUGGGUAUGCAAAUUAGAACUUGGUACUUACUGAAUGUCUACAGCCCUCUGAACUCUGUUUUCGGUAAACCUUUGACAGUUGGCCUGCAGAUGUCAAGUCCAUGUGUGGGGAGGUCUUUGAGACUUGAUCCUGGCAGAAAAGCUUCCACCCGGCACUGCUAGCCUCCCGCAUCCGUGUGUAGUCCUUUAGAGUGGAGUCUGGCUCUUGAGUUCACCGCCCACCCCCUGAGUUUCAUAUUUCUGAGUUCUCUACGGUUUUCUAAUUAUAUAUAUUAAGAAUAAAACAAAGGGGAGAUCUAAAAUGUUGGUAGUUCUGUUAUUUCUCAUGAAGACACCUUUCUCUGUAAGAGAGUUGGCAGCUCUUGUUCUCUGGGAUGGGGUCUAGGAAAGGUGACGGCCGCACCUUGACACUGCAGGCGUUGGUUCCAUUUUCACAGUGUUCUGUAACAUAAUGUCAGAGUAAGGCCGCUGUACUAAGAUCGUUUAAAGUGUAAGCAUUAAAAUUCUAAAAAUACACGUUUU
rnacentral:lncRNA from 1 species